AUCGCUUCUCGGCCUUUUGGCUAAGAUCAAGUGUAGACAAUAAGCUUCUUGAGGACAGGUAAUAGAGUCCAUAGACAGGCAACAGUUAUUUAACUUAAUGUAGCAGAUAAAGUUAAUACUUUCUAAGGCUCCUAACAAUUGAUGUACAAUUCGGUACACAAAUAUUAUCAGAAUUUGGAGCUAUACACAAAUGACUCACU